GGUAGAAGGGAGGGCUGCGAAAUAUCCGAAGAGCUCGCGGAAAUGGCGACGGUGCUGCCGCUCGCCGUGCUCGCCGCCGCCCCUGCCUCGGCCGCACCGAGGACUUGCAUCUCCAGCGCCUCAGUCCCCGAGCCCUUCCUCGGAACCCUCGCGCGUCUCCGCCUCCGCAGCGCGCCGCGGGGCGUCGCCUGCGCCCUCCGCCGUAGGCCCUCCAAAUACAAGACUAAAAUCCAGAGUGAGGAGGAGGUGGUGCCUGCAGAAGCUGUCAUGGACGACGAUGAUGAGGAUGGUGCAUUGGAAGCACUUUUCAAGCAGCUGGAAGAAGAUCUUGAGAAUGAUGAUUUAUCUGUUGACGACGAUGAAGAUGAGAUAUCAGAAGAAGAUAUGGCCAGAUUUGAAAAGGAGUUGGCAGAAGCAAUUGAAGAAGUCGGUGGCGUUGAUGAAUCAGCAGGAGAUUCAUUACUGAGCUCUGCAGACUAUGGUAAUGAUGAGCAAAUAGAUGGGAGCCAACGACCAGAGCUGAAAACCUGGCAACUCAGGAGAUUGGCUCGUGCACUGAAAAUAGGUCGGCGUAAAACUAGUAUAAAGAAUCUUGCAGGGGAGCUAGGCUUAGAUAGGGCUUUGGUCAUUGAACUGCUCCGCAAUCCACCACCAAAACUUCUACUCAUGUCUGAUUCUUUGCCUGAUGAAGCCCCUUCUAAGCCUGAAGUGAAGGAACAAGAACCCCCUAAUUCAGCCACUGUUGAUGAGGUUGAUACCAGUGAAAUCGAGCCACAGGUGGAUCUUCCGGUUCAUGUCAUGAGCGCAGAAUGGUCUGCGCGGAAAAGACUAAAAAAGGUGCAACUUGAGACCUUGGAAAGAGUCUACUUGCGGAGCAAACGCCCCACGAAUACAAUGAUCAGCAGCAUAGUUCAAGUGACAAACCUUCCACGAAAGACCAUUGUCAAGUGGUUUGAGGAUAGAAGGGAACAAGAUGGAGUCCCUGACCAUCGUGUUGCAUUCAAGAGAUCCCUAUCUGAGACUGUAGCUAGUUCAUAACUUCUUCAGAUAAGCCUUUAUUAUAGUGUUCGCAUGGAAACUCUUAUGAGCCUGUAAUUUGAACUUUUAAAGUAUGACAAGUUUUGCAAGCCCAACAUGGAGUAUCUUUAGAUUGUAGCAAUACUAUCAGAUCAGCCAGUGUGACAGUGGAAUGUAGAAACUGUUGAAGAACGCUUUUCUGGUAACUCUCAGGAAAUUGUCUUCCACCUGCAGUGGGUUUGGUGAUGGACAUCUAGCUUCUUCUAUGCACUUGUCUUCUCUUCCUCCACAUGCUCAUG